rnacentral:lncRNA from 1 species
UAUGUUGCAGGAUUUCCCCUGUCCAAUCACAUUAGGGCAGCAGGAGGUCUGUGAUUGGACAGGGAAAAGGAAGGUGGAGCUAAGAGUUGCAGAGACAGAGAGCGUAGGAGAGGGAGGAAGAGGGAAGAUGGCGGCGGCCGUGAACCAGCGUGGCCUUAACCAGCCAUAGUUAUGAUAUUAUAAGGCUCCUUUCCAUGUAGACCUGUGGGUGUCUGCCUGACCUGUAGUCUGAAGAUGCUCUUUCUGAAGUCUUAGGAGGGCCCCUCAGUGAGGAUGCCCGAAGCUGAAGGCUUUACUUCUGUUUCAAGAGGAUCCAAGCGGCUCCCAGCACCCACGCCAGGUGGCUCCCAAGGACGUGUAACUUCCCUUCCAGGGGAUCCAUUGGGAAGCAGAGGUAGACGGAUUUUUGAGUUCGAUGCCAGCCUGGUCUACAGAGUGAGCUCCAGGACAGCCAGGGCUACACAGAGAAACCCUGUCUCGAGAAACCCCAAAAGAGAUAAAGACGAAAGCCCAAAGAGCCUCUGGCAUCCAUAUUGGACUGGAUGUGUCAUCACUAUCACCAUCAUCAACACCACCACCACCACCAGCAGCAGCAGCAACAAAGAUAAACUCACUUGUUAGAGUGAAGACUAACAGGAUUACCAGAAGGAGCCACCUACUCAGUGUAGGCAGUGAACAAGACGUGUGGUCUGAAGAUACACAACACCGAGACAGGACUGUGUGGUGCUCACAUGCCACGAGCAGAGUUCAAACAGCAUCCAAGCCCUAAAGACCAGAGCCAUGGACCAAUAUGGUGGAUGGCAUGUGUGCGCUUGUUCCAGAAGUGCUACUCAUCAUGGAGGCAAAUCCUGUGAGGACGUGGAAGACUUCACCUGGUUUCUCCGCUUUCCUCCCGGUGACACGGGGGAUACUUCGGGCAGAUACUGAACUGUCUGCUGCCAUUUACAGCCACAGUUACAUGGGAUUGUUUGUUCCUUCCCUGGGCUUCUACCUCUUCCUUGACUGGAACAGAAGCUAGGUGCUUAGAUAAACCUGGUCAAAUAUUUUAAAUCAGGAUUCUCUUUUUUUCUCAGCCUAAGAGCUUAAGUGGCUAUUUAUGUAGUUUUAUAAAUAAAAAAAAAAUUUUUUUAACAUCCUGAUCAUACCAUAGCCAUUUUAAAGAGGAGAAGAGACAUUUUAAAGAGCUAUGUGUGCUGCAUUAGACUACUGAAGAAAAAAAAUAGACCCAAGGAAUUAACAUUUCUGAGGAAUCUCAGAGAGAAGUUUUGUAAAAA